rnacentral:rRNA from 1 species
AUUGAACGCUGGCGGCAUGCCUUACACAUGCAAGUCGAACGGUAACGCGGGGCAACCUGGCGACGAGUGGCGAACGGGUGAGUAAUGUAUCGGAACGUGCCCAGUCGUGGGGGAUAACGCAGCGAAAGCUGUGCUAAUACCGCAUACGAUCUAUGGAUGAAAGCGGGGGAUCGCAAGACCUCGCGCGAUUGGAGCGGCCGAUAUCAGAUUAGGUAGUUGGUGGGGUAAAGGCCCACCAAGCCUGCGAUCUGUAGCUGGUCUGAGAGGACGACCAGCCACACUGGAACUGAGACACGGUCCAGACUCCUACGGGAGGCAGCAGUGGGGAAUUUUGGACAAUGGGCGCAAGCCUGAUCCAGCAAUGCCGCGUGCAGGAUGAAGGCCUUCGGGUUGUAAACUGCUUUUGUACGGAGCGAAACGGCUUCCACUAAUACUGGGGGCUAAUGACGGUACCGUAAGAAUAAGCACCGGCUAACUACGUGCCAGCCGCCGCGGUAAAAC